GGGACUGGCCGCGACAGGUCGUCAAGAUUCGCGUCAAGGGUGACCCGGCGCAUGUGAUGCACGGCUCGUCGCUCGUCAGCCACGCUGUGCACAUGGAGAGCAAGGAGGCGGGCCUGGACGCGGCCGCGAGCGGGGGCAUGAACGGCUCCGUUUGGGGCGCUGCAGCUCACUACCGCCAGCUGAUGCACCAGCAGCACCAGCACCAGCAGCACCAGCACCAGCAGCGCCAGCGCCAUCCUGACGAUGAGGGCACCUCGUCUGACCCGG